GAAUAAGUAUAAUUUAUUUCUAAUGUGUUCCGUCUGUGUGAAAUCGAGUCUGUCAUUGCUUGUUUAGUUUUAGGUUCUUUGCAUAAACCGGAACUAGGGGGUUGGAGGAUUCAACAUUGAUUGUUUCACUUAAUGUAAAUUCUUAGCUAGGAUUGUUUUUGUUUGGAGACGGAUACAGAGUCGGACUGCUGUAUGCCGGAUUGUAUGGAGGUCACGGCCAACUUUAGUCGACCGGUUGAACCGUAGACUGGAAGUGUCAAUAAAUCGUCUACGGGCGUGUGUUACCGAGCACUUUUUCGGUGUGUGUAUGAACCGAGCACCUUUUCGGUAGUGUUUUGGCCUGUUAGUGGGCGGCGAGUGUGCACCUCGCUAGGACCAUUGUUUGUUGUUUGGGUACUUUAGGUACUGUGUUUGACAUGCAUUAUAAUUAAAUUAUAUUUAUUCGGAGUGCUAUGUCCGGGUCCAUGGACUUCGGGGUGGCAUCCCAUACCUCACUGAGCGAUUCCCCUGUCGCUCACCCCUCACUCUUCCCCUUUUCAGGUGAGACAAACAAGUAUGUGAUAUUUGGACGGACUUGGUGCUAUUGGACUUUUCUUUCGGAUUUUAUUUGGGCAUGGGUGAGAGUUGUCGGGUUUAUGGGCUUUUAUAUUACGGGAUAUUGUUGGUGGCCCGUCGUCCUUAGUGUCAGGGAGACGGGUAUCACAUUGUUGUAUGAUGACGCGUCGGGGGUGACACGCUGUCCUCCAUAUAGGAGGUGACGGGUGUCACAUUUUUGUUCUUUGAAAACAGCACUUCAUAGAAAAACGUAACUAUCAAAUUAAUCAUCAUCAUAAAGUUCGCAAAGUAUUUACUAAGUUAUACAAUCUAAACUAGUUAAAGCUCCCCGCUUUGUUAGCGAGAUUGGAGCUGAUAAAGUUGAGUUCAUCUUCAAGAAGCCUAAUGGUUUCAGUCUCGGCGGCAGCUACUCCACUCGUUGUAUGGCAAAGCCUGAUGCUUCUGUUGAUCUUCUCCUCCACUUGCCUAAGGAAUGUUUUCAUGAGAAAGAUUACAUGAAUCAUCUAUACCAUGCCAAGCAAUGUCUAUAUCUUUCUGUAGUUAAAUGUUAAAACCAUUUGUUGUUGUCAUCGUCCGUUGAGAAAGUUGAAUGGUCAGCCUUACAGAACGAGGCGAGGAAGCCAGUCUUAGUUGUUUUCCCAGGUAUGUGUGCUCUAGUUUUGUUUUUCGCUAAGAAAGGUGAGAAUGUUUUGACGCUGAGAAUGUUGAUCACUUUCCUGGAUUUUCCAUAAGAAAAAUACCUUCAGAAAAAUCAUUGUUUGAUGUUGCAACCUCCCUUCUGUUACUGCAGGUAAUGCGGUUUGUUUCAGGAAUGUUGAGUUUUCUCUUGUCGAAUAUGUUGAGACAGCAGUUUAAUGAUCAUUAUGAUUUGUUUUGAUGAUAAAGAUGGUGACUCUCUGCCCACGCCGACUUACAACUCAAGCAUCUUGGGGGACAUGUUUCUGGAGAAAAAAUCUAAUCUUCUCAAGAACAGAUUAUCUCAGUGGGAAGGGUUGCCAGAUGCUUUGAUAUUGCUGAAGGUGCAGCUGCAAUGAAAUUAGGAGAGACAUUGCCUGUGUGGAUUGGGAAAUAAAGUUUUGGUUGAAGAUAGCAAUGGGUGACGGAGAUACGAGUCUGACUCGAGAUGGAGGCGGCACCUAGAUCAAGCGUAAUAGCCGACAUCUCGUCAGUUAACGCUUCUGCAGGCUGUGAAAUCCUAGUUCUGACGAGCCAGGGUCUCAAAACGUCAGUGGAGACUCGAUGAGCAGGGAUGCUGAGUGAGCAAGAAAUCCGAGAACCUCCGUAAAAGAUAGCAGCUCCGCUGAGAGGAUCGCAGCCAAAUUUAUGAAGAACCGCCGCGGCGUAAUAUGAUGGAAAUGCAGCGGUGACGUAGUAUCCACGCUCUUUUGGCUUGAUGAGCUUGAAGUCAGACUCUUCUGGGAGUCACAGGCUCACCAGCAAAGUGGUGGAACAAGUUAAAACCAUUGGUGUUUUCCACUUUGCAUUGGUUGGCUCUGUUUUCCCUACCAUUAGUAAUAGAUUCAGUAUGUAAUGCUUGUCUUUGUACAUCUUUAAAAUAGCUGUCUGGAUUGAUGUCUCUGAAGAACCAUUUUCACUGGCUCCACUCAUGUUGCUGUAGAUGAAUAUAUAUAAGUAUUCAACUAACUGAGCUUUUGAA